GAUCACUGAACACCUGCUUGCCCAUGGGAAGCAGUAAAUUGGUUCCUUGUUUUGCUUUGCUUGUGUGUGUGACUUUCGCUUUGUCUUUAUCUCAACCCACAGGUUUUCUAGCUUUUACCCUUGAAAUUCUCUUCCUGAUCCCAUCAGUGGUGUGAACCAACAGCUACACAGUACUUAGUUGCUGUCUGGGGUUAAACCAUGACACCUUCCAAGAUUUGAGUAUUUCACUACUUUCCUUCUUUGAUGACGUGGUGAUUUGAGAGGGAUUUGGAUACCAAAUUGCCUUAGCAUGUACAGAAAACCAACUCUAAGAUACGACGAAGGACACACCUGUGCAAGAGACUGGGCUACUGCAAGGAGAGAAGUCUUCAUCAGCAGCUUGUCAUUGUCAGGGAUUUUUUUUCUCCCUGUGGAGGGAGGCAGGGUAGCAACAUGUGUAAGGACUGGGAUGAAUAGGGAAGCUACCUAAAACAGCCAGGGGGGAAUGGCUUUGAAACUUGGAUUUUUGAAACAUGGAUUUUCCAUGACACAAAAGAAUGGAAGGCACCUGCAGUUUCAUUGCACUGCAAAGCAAGCCCUGAAAGAGACCUAUUUAGAACGACUCAAGAUCAGCGUACUGCAAAAAUCUUCCAGUUUGGGAGCAGAAGUGGGCUGAGAUCAUGUUGCAAAAAAUUCCUCUGUUUGCAGGACC